CCACACUGAGGCUUAACUCUGGUUUAUACUUGGACUGAGAGCUGGAGAUCCAAACACUGCUGCUUCCAUGGCUAAUUGCAUCUCACCUGGUACGACAGCCCUCCCCAUCGACAGCCCUCCCCAUCGGGCCCUCGACAAAGGCCUAGGCUUAUCAAAAUGUGAGGGCACAUUCAGCCCACAAUCGAAACUGAAGUCUGUAGAAAGAGGAAUCCAGUGGCUGUACUUCUUCCACUCAAAAGUCUGGAAAAGCCACCUAAUUAUGUUAAUGUAUUCAGUUUGUUUCGAGAGUCUAGUGUUUCAGAGUGUGGACUCCGGAGCAAGCGGGCUGACCUCCAACCUCUGAAUCCUAACUUGGCCACUGACUGACUAUAGAACCCUGGGCAAGGUGGUUUAUCUCUGUGCCUCAGUCUCCUCAUCCAUAAAACGGUGCUGAUAUUAGUACCUAUGUCAAUCAGGUACAGAUUAAACAAAUUAGUAUGCAUAAAAACACUGGUCACAAUAAGGAUCCAAUUAGCAUGGACCCCUCAAGCUGAAGAAGUGUCAGAAAUGUGAACACAGGCAGGGUGCAGUAGCUCAUGCCUGUAAUCCCAGCACUUUGGGAGGCCGAGGUGGGCAGAUCACGAGGUCAGGAGUUCGAGACCAGCCUGGCCAACAUGGUGAAACCCCGUAUCUACUAAAGAUACAAAAAAUUAGCCGGGCAUAGUGGCACACACCUGUAGUCCCAGCUACUUGGGAGGCUGAGGCAGAAGAAUCGCUUGAACCUGGGAGGAGCAGGUUGCAGUGAACCAAGAUGGUGCCACCACACUCCAGCCUGGGCAACAGAGCGAGACUCCAUCUCAACAACAACAAAAAAAAACUGAAGUCCAAGAGUUCAAAGUUAGCACCUCCAACAGAAUACAGGGAAAGACACAGCAUUUUAGCAGUUAUCUCCUCCCAUGGUUUUCAAACUUUUCUACAACCUGGAAUGUUUUAUUCAACAAAAUCUUACUCCAAGCGUAGAAGGCAGAACAAAAGUAGAGCUGUGCCAACUGAGGAUGGGGUAAGGGCAUGACCUGGAGACCCAGCGACCUGCCACAUCCCAGAAGAACCUUCAAAAUCCACCGCCAUGGGUAAUGGACACAUGGAGCAGGGACAUCACCUCAUGAUCUUGUCCUGUUUGUAAAGAUGACAACCGUCAAUGAUUUUAAGGAACGAGUGGACAGGUAAGAGGCUAUGAGCUUUUGUGAGAGCUUGGGCAGGAGACAGUGAAGUCAGGCAGAGGAGACUGCGAUGGGAGGUCAGACAGCAGGAGGAGAUGCCACAUGGGGCUGACUUAAGUGAGAAGGGAGGAGUAGGGAGGAGCUGAGGAUGGCUCUGCUCCUGGCCCCUCUAACUAUGGCAACUUCUGGCUGUGCAUGGUAUAUGCAGCAGUCUGGAUAAUGAAGAUGAGCCAAUCUUUUUUUAAACAAAAAUUUUAGGAGAAUGAAUGGUUUUUCGAAUAAACAAUCUAAUUAAAAUCAGAAAAGCUUUUUAGUUUUCAUCUUUAAGUAUAACACUGAAAUGUCUUACUAAAUUUCUAACUGCUGUAACUACAAAACAUGAAAAGCCUUUAGUACCUGAAGGUACUGUUGUCUCCACGCUCCACGGAACACUGCAAAAGGAGAGAACUGAGCUGGCUCUGUCCUCACUUCGUUAUGUUAAUCAGAAGGGAAACUGUUGUUGAUUUGUUAAAUCCUUCAGUUUUUCUUGUGUCUUGCCUCUUUCUUAUUAAUGUAAAGCAAAGAAAAAAACAAGGCUUAACUACAAGUUCUGAUUAAUACAGGCUUUAUGCAUUUGGUUUAGAAAUGUGUAUAAUUUUCUGCAA
rnacentral:lncRNA from 1 species